AAACAGGGGAAGAACUGACAAUAGCAUCCCUUCUCCUUGCUAUCUCUUGCUGAUCUCAUCUUUCAACUUCACUAGAGCUGAUUUCACAGAGGAGAAAUCUGAUAGCCAAAACAUCAGAGGCAGAUAUUGGUGGUAUGUCAGUAGAGGCUGAACCUGACCAACAGUACUCCAUUCCAUGUUGUUGCUGUGUGACAGAUGGCAGCAGAGGGGCCUGACAAAAUGGCGUCUGACAUGGAAAUGUGUGCAAAGCAAAG
rnacentral:lncRNA from 1 species